UAGGGAAUCUUCCACAAUGGACGCAAGUCUGAUGGAGCAACGCCGCGUGAGUGAAGAAGGUCUUCGGAUCGUAAAGCUCUGUUGUUGGUGAAGAAGGAUAGAGGCAGUAACUGGUCUUUAUUUGACGGUAAUCAACCAGAAAGUCACGGCUAACUACGUGCCAGCAGCCGCGGUAAUACGUAGGUGGCAAGCGUUGUCCGGAUUUAUUGGGCGUAAAGCGAGCGCAGGCGGAAUGAUAAGUCUGAUGUGAAAGCCCACGGCUCAACCGUGGAACUGCAUCGGAAACUGUCAUUCUUGAGUGCAGAAGAGGAGAGUGGAACUCCAUGUGUAGCGGUGGAAUGCGUAGAUAUAUGGAAGAACACCAGUGGCGAAGGCGGCUCUCUGGUCUGCAACUGACGCUGAGGCUCGAAAGCAUGGGUAGCGAACAGGAUUAGAUACCCUGGUAGUCCAUGCCGUAAAC
rnacentral:rRNA from 1 species